UAUAAAGAGAAUAACAUUUAGUGCGCAUACCACAAAAUCAAAUGAUAGCUUCUCCGUCGGUCUAAACCAUGGGGCGUUGUAUUAUUUUCUCCCAGUUCUCACUGCAUUUCAUUUUCAUUACCCGUUUAAAAACAUGUACACAUAGACUUUUCUUAGUCAUCUUCGAUCGACCAAUGGACGUUUGUCUUUACUAAAUAAAAAAUUUAACGCUGACUUGACUUGACUUGAUUUGAAACUAAAAGGAAGCUUAUAUGAAGAGAACCAAAAUAAAUUAGAAAGAAAAGAAGAAAAAUACUAAUAGAAGAAUUUAUUUGUUGCUUUCCUAAAAGAUACGAAAACAGGAAAGAAGAAAGGCUUUGUUUCAAGGUUGCUGAAGAUGGGGAAACUUGUUUGUUCUGAAUUGUGUGAAGACAGUGGUUCCAACUUAACGGGACUUCUAAUGGCAAUUGUCAUUGCUAUCGCCAUCAUGGCCACUUGUAUCCCACCUCCACGGCGCUAUGUCCUCCGCCAGAUUGCCUAACAACGUCUCUCGGAAAACUGGUGCUGCCUAGAUCAGGCAUAUACCUCUUAAUCUAGUUCCUCGGAUAAUGGACUUUGAGUGCGUGUAUAAGGGUGAUAGUCCUAUGAUGCUUUCAUACAGAAAAUAAAGUUUCAUGUAUGUAUCAUUUUAGUGAGAAUAUUGAAGCAGGAAGGGUGCCACUCAGGUCAGGUUUCUGUAAUUGAAUGCAUAGUGAUGUUUUCCUA